AAGACAGCUGGAUGAUAGCCGGGCUGAAGACUCUGCUUGACUAGCUGAGAGGAGGUGCAUGGCCGUCGUCAGUUCGUACUGUGAAGCAUCCUGUUAAGUCAGGCAACGAGCGAGACCCACGCCAACAGUUGCCAGCAUGUCCUCCGGGAUGAUGGGGACACUGUUGGGACCGCCUCUGCUAAAGAGGAGGAAGGAAUGGGCAACGGUAGGUCAGCAUGCCCCGAAUUAUCCGGGCUACACGCGGGCUACAAUGGUCAGGACAAUGGGUAUCGACACCGAGAGGUGGAGGCAAUCUCCUAAAGCCAAUCUUAGUCCGGAUUGAGGGCUGCAACUCGCCCUCAUGAAGCUGGAAUCCGUAGUAAUCGCGUUUCAACAGAACGCGGUGAAUACGUCCCUGCUCCUU
rnacentral:rRNA from 1 species